rnacentral:rRNA from 1 species
GAUGAACGCUGGCGGCGUGCCUAAUACAUGCAAGUCGAGCGAACGGACGAGAAGCUUGCUUCUCUGAUGUUAGCGGCGGACGGGUGAGUAACACGUGGAUAACCUACCUAUAAGACUGGGAUAACUUCGGGAAACCGUAGCUAAUACCGGAUAAUAUUUUGAACCGCAUGGUUCAAAAGUGAAAGACGGUCUUGCUGUCACUUAUAGAUGGAUCAGCGCUGCAUUAGCUAGUUGGUAAGGUAACGGCUUACCAAGGCAACGAUGCGUACCCGACCUGAGAGGGUGAUCGGCCACACUGGAACUGAGACACGGUCCAGACUCCUACGGGAGGCAGCAGUAGGGAAUCUUCCGCAAUGGGCGAAAGCCUGACGGAGCAACGCCGCGUGAGUGAUGAAGGUCUUCGGAUCGUAAAACUCUGUUAUUAGGGAAGAACAUAUGUGUAAGUAACUGUGCACAUCUUGACGGUACCUAAUCAGAAAGCCACGGCUAACUACGUG